GUGGGGAAUAUUGGACAAUGGGCGAAAGCCUGAUCCAGCCAUGCCGCGUGUGUGAAGAAGGUCUUCGGAUUGUAAAGCACUUUAAGUUGGGAGGAAGGGCAGUAAGUUAAUACCUUGCUGUUUUGACGUUACCGACAGAAUAAGCACCGGCUAACUUCGUGCCAGCAGCCGCGGUAAUACGAAGGGUGCAAGCGUUAAUCGGAAUUACUGGGCGUAAAGCGCGCGUAGGUGGUUUUGUAAGUUGGAGGUGAAAUCCCCGGGCUCAACCUGGGAACUGCCUCCAAAACUGCAGGACUAGAGUACGGUAGAGGGUAGGGGAAUAUCCUGUGUAGCGGUGACAUGCGUAGAUAUAAGAAGGAACACCCGUGGCGAAGGCGACUACCUGGGCUGAUACUGACACUGAGGUGCGAAAGCGUGGGGAGCAAACAGGAUUAGAUACCCCUGUAGUCC
rnacentral:rRNA from 1 species